rnacentral:rRNA from 1 species
CCUACGGGAGGCAGCAGUAGAGAAUCUUCGGCAAUGGGGGAAACCCUGACCGAGCGAUACCGCGUGAGUGAUGAAAUACUUCGGUAUGUAAAACUCUUUUAUUAAAGAAGAAUGAUAUAAAUAGGCAAUGAUUUAUAAGUGACGUUAUUUAAUGAAUAAGUCCCGGCUAACUAUGUGCCAGCAGCCGCGGUAAUACAUAGGGGACGAGCGUUAUCCGGAAUAAUUGGGCGUAAAGGGUGCGUAGGCGGUGUGUUAAGUUCAAGGUUUAAUCGUAGGGCUCAACCCUAUAUCGCUUUGAAAACUGGCACAAUAGAGUAAGAUAGAGGCAAGUGGAAUUCCAUGUGUAGCGGUAAAAUGCGUAAAUAUAUGGCAGAACACCAGAGGCGAAGGCGGCUUGCUGGGUCUUCACUGACGCUGAGGCACGAAAGCGUGGGGAGCAAACAGGAUUAGAUACCCUUGUAGUC